rnacentral:sRNA from 1 species
GCCAGGCGUGGUGGUGCACGCCUGUAAUCCCAGCAGCUUGGGAGGCUGAGACAGGAGGAUGGAGAGUUCAAAGCCAGCCUCAGCAACUGAGUGAGGUCCUAAGCAACUCAGUGAGACCCCGUCUCUA